GGUCUUCUGGUGCUUACCUCAGGCUGUAUUCUUACAUUAACCAUACAGAAAGAGAAGGCAGAGCAAACCUACCCCAUAUACAUUUCAGAAUGGGAGACAAGG
rnacentral:snoRNA from 1 species